UGCAUGUCUAAGUAUAAACGCUUCUAUACUGUGAAACUGCGAAUGGCUCAUUAAAUCAGUUAUAGUUUAUUUGAUGGUUCCUUACUACUUGGAUAACCGUAGUAAUUCUAGAGCUAAUACAUGCAGAAAGUCCCGACUUCUUGGAAGGGAUGUAUUUAUUAGAUCCAAAACCAGCGCGAGUUUCCUUCGGGGGCUCGGUUGCAUGGUGAUUCAUGAUAACUGCUCGAAUCGCAUGGCCUUGCGCCGGCGAUGAUCCAUUCAAAUUUCUGCCCUAUCAACUUUCGAUGGCAAGGUAGUGGCUUGCCAUGGUGACAACGGGUGACGGAGAAUUAGGGUUCGAUUCCGGAGAGGGAGCCUGAGAAACGGCUACCACAUCCAAGGAAGGCAGCAGGCGCGCAAAUUACCCAAUCCCGACUCGGGGAGGUAGUGACAAUAAAUAACAAUGCUGGGCUAUCGUAGUCUGGCAAUUGGAAUGAGUACAAUCUAAACCCCUUAACGAGGAACAAUUGGAGGGCAAGUCUGGUGCCAGCAGCCGCGGUAAUUCCAGCUCCAAUAGCGUAUAUUAAAGUUGUUGCAGUUAAAAAGCUCGUAGUUGGAUUUCGGGGCAGCCCGGCUGGUCCGUCGCGAGGCGAGUACUGGUCGGCCGCCCUUCCUCUCGAAAGCCCCGACUGCUCUUCACUGCAGUGGUCGGGGAGUUCGGGACGUUUACUUUGAAAAAAUUAGAGUGUUCAAGGCAGGCCAUCGCCUGAAUACAUUAGCAUGGAAUAAUGGAAGAGGACCUCGGUCCUAUUUUGUUGGUUUCUAGGGCCGAAGUAAUGAUUAAGAGGGACAGUUGGGGGCAUUCGUAUUUAAUUGUCAGAGGUGAAAUUCUCGGAUUUAUGAAAGACGAACAACUGCGAAAGCAUUUGCCAAGGAUGUUUUCAUUAAUCAAGAACGAAAGUUAGGGGUUCGAAGACGAUCAGAUACCGUCGUAGUCCUAACCAUAAACUAUGCCGACUAGGGAUCGGCGG
rnacentral:rRNA from 4 species